CCGUGAGCUGACGCUCACGGCUAAAUCGUGCCGCCCCUGCGGGGCU
rnacentral:sRNA from 1 species